AACGGACGCUGGCGGCAGGCUUAACACAUGCAAGUCGAGCGCCCCGCAAGGGGAGCGGCAGACGGGUGAGUAACGCGUGGGAACCUACCGUGCCCUACGGAAUAGCUCCGGGAAACUGGAAUUAAUACCGUAUACGCCCUACGGGGGAAAGAUUUAUCGGGGUAUGAUGAGCCCGCGUUGGAUUAGCUAGUUGGUGGGGUAAAGGCCUACCAAGGCGACGACCCAUAGCUGGUCUGAGAGGAUGAUCAGCCACAUUGGGACUGAGACACGGCCCAAACUCCUACGGGAGGCAGCAGUGGGGAAUAUUGGACAAUGGGCGCAAGCCUGAUCCAGCCAUGCCGCGUGAGUGAUGAAGGUCUUAGGAUUGUAAAGCUCUUUCACCGAUGAAGAUAAUGACGGUAGUCGGAGAAGAAGCCCCGGCUAACUUCGUGCCAGCAGCCGCCGUAACAC
rnacentral:rRNA from 1 species